rnacentral:rRNA from 1 species
CACGUAGGCGGCCUUGUAAGUCAGGGGUGAAAUCCCACGGCUCAACCGUGGAACUGCCUUUGAAACUGCAGGGCUUGAAUCCUGGAGAGGGUGGCGGAAUUCCUGGUGUAGGAGUGAAAUCCGUAGAUAUCAGGAGGAACACCGGUGGCGAAGGCGGCCACCUGGACAGGUAUUGACGCUGAGGUGCGAAAGUGUGGGGAGCAAACAG